ensembl:lncRNA
AACACAUUGCCUACACACUUUGCCUACAGAAAGUUUACUGAAAUCAGUAGCUAUACUAGUCUUUCAAUUGUAAGAGGGGUUGUUUGGUUUUGAACAAUGUCAAUGUUAUGUGUUCUUGGGAUGGUAACCUGCUUUCAGUUUUUGUGGAUGUUGUGAUUAGGUGUAUUAAAUGAUGUGUUUUUCUAUUUAUUAUAAGCCCGGGCCACAAGAAAAUGAUUCUAGUUCCCCGUCAGAGGAUUUCUUGGCAGGUAAAAAAAAAAUCUCAUUUAACCAAGUACAUUCAAAUGUCUAUAACAUAUUUAAAUGACAAAAAUUAUCCGGUUGAGGUAAGAUUUUGCAUGGGGGUCUAUUUCUAAACGACAAAAGUUUACCACCUUGCUUUAUGCAAAAUGCUAACAAUGCUGUCAUUUUAUCAAAGGGGGAAAAUCAUUUUGAUUUAAUAGAUUUAGACAACUACUCUGAGGAUGCGGAGGUGGCCAGAGACAAGGUUGGAUAAUUAAGCAAUAAUCCUGUAAGAGGUGUGGUAUAUUGACAAAAUACCACAGCUAAUUAAAGUUAUUAGGCACAGCACAAGAUAGCCAUGGUAUUUUGGCCAAUACUUAAAUCUUCCAAGGUACCUUUGUUGAAUUAAUAAUAAACAUACAUUAGAUUAAUCAAAUGACUAGGGUCUGGCUGAACAACAGGUCUGGCUGAACAACAGGGGUUUGAAGAAACUGAAGUUUUAGAAUUGCCUUCUCGUGAGUACAGUACUAAUAAUUAAAAUGAUGUAAUGCAAAAUGCAAAGACUAAGUGUUACAACUAUAUUUCCACAAAUAUUUCAGUUUAUUUGCAACGACUGCCAUAUGUGCCAGUGGAUCAAAUUACUUAUGAUUCCAAGAACGUAAUUGGAAAGGGAGGUUUUGCAAUUGUCUACAAAGGCAUAUACCAAAAUACCCCCGGCUGCGAUCAAGAGGAUACUGAUAGACUCCAACUCCCAAGAUGAUGUAGCACAUGAAAUCUUUGUCAAUGUCAGAUCUGAAAGGAACCCAAACGCAGACUGGAUGAGUGCGGUGAAACUCAAUUUAAUAUGAGGGUAGUCGUGGGCAAGCAGAGGUUCGG